UCCUACGGGGCGCAGCAGUGAGGAAUAUUGGUCAAUGGGCGGGAGCCUGAACCAGCCAAGUCGCGUGAGGGACGACGGUCCUAUGGAUUGUAAACCUCUUUUGUCGGGGAACAAAGGCGCCCACGGGUGGGCGGAUGAGUGUACCCGAAGAAAAAGCAUCGGCUAACUCCGUGCCAGCAGCCGCGGUAAUACGGAGGAUGCGAGCGUUAUCCGGAUUUAUUGGGUUUAAAGGGUGCGUAGGCGGGCUUUUAAGUCAGCGGUAAAAAUUCGGGGCUCAACCCCGUCCGGCCGUUGAAACUGGGGGC
rnacentral:rRNA from 1 species